UCGUCUUCUUCUUCCACUUCUUCUACUGUUUUAUGUUUUUCCUUUUUUUUUUGCAUGAAUUAAAUGUGAGAGGAAGAAGAAAUAGGGUGUUGCCGUGUUUUAAAAUUA
rnacentral:ribozyme from 14 species